CCUCCCAGGGUGCUGUACCAUGACUGAGUGGAAAAUGAUUUUAAAGUCUCACGGUGGAAAGCCAAAUUGAAGAAGGGCUUUGGGAAAGUUUUCUAGGAGCCAGAGGCUGGAAGUGGGAGCUGGGCACCACCUAACGUUCUGUCAGCCUUAGCUUGGGGAUGCAGGCUGCCCCGUUCCUCCUGUCCUCGCAGAGGGAUCUGUGGACAGCAAACAUCUCUGGAAGAACACUGAGCCACCUGCCACCUAGACGCGUGUGAAUUGCGUAGGAAACGCGUUUCACCUGCACAGGACCCGGAUGUUCAGGCGCGGUCAUGGCGGCCCCCACGAGGAUUCCAAGAUCGCUGAGCCAAGGAGAGAGGCCUCGCUUCCCACUGAGCCUCCCCCUCCUGUCACUGUCACUCCGGAAGUCAAAGCGAGCCGAGUACCUAGUCACCUAGAAAUCCUUAUUUCCAGACUGAAAAACAAGUAGUGCAGAACUGUGGCUCCUGAGAGAAGAGGAACAAGGUGAAUCCUACAAUUUCUACCUGGAGGCAGUUUUCAGACAGAGACAGAGGGAGGGAUCUGAACAGAGUGCCAGCAGCCUUCGGCCUAGGUGAAUGAAAAGACAGUGCCUGUACCUCAGAGAUGACAGUGCAGCCAUGACCUGAAAUAAGAAGGAAUCGGCAAGAGAAUGAGCCCCAGAGAUCCACACAGGGCUUCCCUGAAUCUGUGGACAUGUGGAUAAAGCUUUUCAGACCAAGCAAAAAAUCAGUUCCCAAGAAAGAACAAUUCCCAGAGCUCAUGCAAAGGCCGACAGCUGGGUCCUCAACAGAGAAGGCUGGGAAGGCUUUGCUGGACACACAGGCAUUCCACAGAGGCUGUAGAGUAUGGUUUAACUAGUCCCCCAGAAAAGAAUCCUUGGAAGGCUUAAAAAGAUGUCUAGUUCCUGAUCUGUACACACCUUCAUUGUCCUCCAGAACAAAGCCCAAACUACUUCAAAGACGUACAAGCCAAUGCAGCAUCAAGAAUGCACAAUUCUUAAUAUUCUAUUCUCCCAACAAAAAUUAUCAGAUAUGCAAAGAAGCAGGAAGAUGUGACCCUCCAACAAGAGGAAAACCAACAAAGAGAAAUGGACCCAGAAAGGCCAGAUAUUAUAGAGAAUAUGCAAACACAUGAAAAUAGCUGUCCUAAACAUGUUAAAUGUGCCAAAGAUUUAAAGGAAAAGAUAAACAUCAUGAGAGAAAUGGAAACAAUAAGGAGCCAAGUAAAAUUUCUAGAGAUGGAAAAUAACUGAAAUAAAAAUUUUACUAGAUAAGAUUAGCAACUGAUUUAAGACUGAAG
rnacentral:lncRNA from 1 species